rnacentral:rRNA from 1 species
CUGCUGCCUUCCGUAGGAGUCUGGUCCGUGUCUCAGUACCAGUGUGGGGGACCUUCCUCUCAGAACCCCUACGCAUCGUCGCCUCGGUGGGCCGUUACCCCGCCGACUAGCUAAUGCGCCGCAUGGCCAUCCGCAGCCGAUAAAUCUUUAAACAUCGGGAGAUGCCUCCCAACGUUGUUACGCGGUAUUAGACGGAAUUUCUUCCGCUUAUCCCCCUGCUGCGGGCAGGUUCCAUACGUGUUACUCACCCGUGCGCCGGUCGCCGGCG